GUAGGGAAUCUUCCGCAAUGGACGAAAGUCUGACGGAGCAACGCCGCGUGAGUGAUGAAGGUUUUCGGAUCGUAAAGCUCUGUUGCCAGGGAAGAACGUCUUAGAGAGUAACUGCUCUAAGAGUGACGGUACCUGAGAAGAAAGCCCCGGCUAACUACGUGCCAGCAGCCGCGGUAAUACGUAGGGGGCGAGCGUUGUCCGGAAUUAUUGGGCGUAAAGCGCGCGCAGGCGGCUGUUUAAGUCUGGUGUUUAAUCCUGGGGCUCAACCCCGGGUCGCACUGGAAACUGGACGGCUUGAGUGCAGAAGAGGAGAGUGGAAUUCCACGUGUAGCGGUGAAAUGCGUAGAGAUGUGGAGGAACACCAGUGGCGAAGGCGACUCUCUGGGCUGUAACUGACGCUGAGGCGCGAAAGCGUGGGGAGCAAACAGGAUUAGAAACCCUAGUAGUCC
rnacentral:rRNA from 1 species